GCUUACGGGCCAUACCACCUUAGGCACGCGCGAUCGAUCUCGUCUGAUCUCGGAAGCUAAGCAGGGUCGGGCCUGGUUAGUACUUGGAUGGGUGACCGCCUGGGAAUACCAGGUGCUGUAAGCA
ensembl:rRNA 5S_rRNA 5S ribosomal RNA